rnacentral:rRNA from 1 species
CAGCCGCCGCGGUAAUACGGAGGGGGCUAGCGUUGUUCGGAAUUACUGGGCGUAAAGCGCACGUAGGCGGCUUGGUAAGUUAGAGGUGAAAGCCCGGAGCUCAACUCCGGAAUUGCCUUUAAGACUGCCGAGCUAGUAGGUGAGAGAGGUAAGUGGAAUUCCGAGUGUAGAGGUGAAAUUCGUAGAUAUUCGGAAGAACACCAGUGGCGAAGGCGGCUUACUGGCUCAUUCUAGACGCUGAGGUGCGAAAGCGUGGAGAGCAAGCAGGAUUAGAUACCCGUGUAGUCCCUGUCUCUUAUAC